GACAGAGGUCUCAAGCGUUGUUCGGAUUCAUUGGGCGUAAAGGGCGCGUAGGCGGCGGGGUAAGUCGGGUGUGAAAUCUCAGAGCUCAACUCUGAAACUGCACUCGAUACUGCUCUGCUUGAGGACUGGAGAGGAGACUGGAAUUCACGGUGUAGCAGUGAAAUGCGUAGAUAUCGUGAGGAAGACCAGUGGCGAAGGCGGGUCUCUGGACAGUUCCUGACGCUGAGGCGCGAAGGCCAGGGGAGCAAACGGG
rnacentral:rRNA from 1 species